UUGAGACAGGGUCUCACUCUGUUGCCGAAGCUGGUGUGCAGUGGUGUGAUCACGGCUCACAGCAGCCUCCAUCUCCUAGGCCUAAGUGAUCCUCCUCCAGCCUGGUGAGGAACUGGGACCUGCACCAUGUCCAGUUCGUCCGCUUUGGGAUUUGGACUGACUUCUUGCUGCUCAGUUUGCUGACCAUCUAUUGUGGGACUUCACCUUGUCAUCCUGUAUACUUAAGAAGAGCAGAGAUGGCCCUGCUGGGUGGCUCAUGCCUGUAAUUUCAGCACUUUAGAAGGCAGAGGCAGGUGGAAGAAGGUCAAGUGAUCGAGACCAUCCUGGCCAACAUGGUUUGGGCGGUUCUACUCAUAAUCUUGGAGAAUGACAGGAUCAAGAUAAAGAACAGGGUCUCACAGAGGACAGCACAGCAGUUCAAACAAAGCCAAGACAGGCAGGAGGAGGCCAGAGGACACUUACUGGCAAUAACGUGGCAUUCGGACCCCAACGACUCCAGCCAGCACGGAGCCCGAGUGAAUUCCUAUCCUCAUCUGAAGAAAAAUGAAGAAAAAAAAGAACGCAUUUGUUUUCAUUUGGUAUGCAAUUAUUUCAAUAAAAGCCACUGCUAAUUAUUAAAAAAAUUAAACUAUGAGCUCCUC